CCUACGGGUGGCAGCAGUGGGGAAUAUUGGACAAUGGGGGGAACCCUGAUCCAGCCAUGCCGCGUGUGUGAAGAAGGCCCUCGGGUUGUAAAGCACUUUCAGUGAGGAAGAACGCCUGGUGGUUAAUACCCAUCAGGAAAGACAUCACUCACAGAAGAAGCACCGGCUAACUCCGUGCCAGCAGCCGCGGUAAUACGGAGGGUGCGAGCGUUAAUCGGAAUUACUGGGCGUAAAGCGCGCGUAGGUGGCUUGAUAAGCCGGUUGUGAAAGCCCCGGGCUCAACCUGGGAACGGCAUCCGGAACUGUUAGGCUAGAGUGCAGGAGAGGAAGGUAGAAUUCCCGGUGUAGCGGUGAAAUGCGUAGAGAUCGGGAGGAAUACCAGUGGCGAAGGCGGCCUUCUGGACUGACACUGACACUGAGGUGCGAAAGCGUGGGUAGCAAACAGGAUUAGAUACCCUUGUAGUC
rnacentral:rRNA from 1 species